UACGUAGGGGGCAAGCGUUGUCCGGAAUCAUUGGGCGUAAAGCGCGUGUAGGCGGCUUGAUAAGUCUGCUCUGAAAGCCCGGGGCUCAACCCCGGGAGGCGGGUGGAUACUGUCAAGCUCGAGUCCGGAAGAGGCGAGUGGAAUUCCUGGUGUAGCGGUGGAAUGCGCAGAUAUCAGGAAGAACACCAACGGCGAAGGCAGCUCGCUAGGACGGUACUGACGCUGAGACGCGAAAGCGUGGGGAGCGAACAGG
rnacentral:rRNA from 1 species